CUUUUCAAGAAUUUUUAAUUCUAUUGUUAUUACCUUCCACCCCGCGAAAUUGUAUGCUUUAUCAUUUCAGUAUAAUCUUUCAUUGUUUGCCUCAUUCAACCAUUGCUUCAUUACAUUGCUUCUAAAUCUUUUUCUAGUUAGUUUCCACUCAACUUUCGCUAAUACUGGUCUGUCUAUUACUGGCUCAAAUCAUUGAAUUUUCUGUGCCUUUACAAAGUUAUUUAUUUUCAGUCUUUUUUAAUCUUUUGAUUCUUUCGGUUUUUUCUCUUACGCCAGUAUUCCAGUCCGUCGUUAUAUAUUGGCCCACAGAGAAUUCUCAGUAUUUUGUUCUCAAACAAAUCAAAUAUUUUUUUUUGGGUUAGUACUGUUAACACACGUUAAAAUUCCUAUGUGAUAGGAUCAGUUUAAUAAUAGCCGUGUAAAGGCACAUUGGUUAUUCUUUAGAAGAAUAUUUAGACCACUCACAAUUUUUUUUAUAUUUACAUAAAAUGUACAUUGUAUAACAAUUGCAUAAUAAUUAAAUGUAAUUCAAGAAAAAAGACGU